rnacentral:tRNA from 1 species
GUCUCUGUGGCGCAAUUGGUUAGCGCGUUUGGCUGUUAAACCAGAAGGUUGGUGGUUCAAGCCCACCCAGGGACG